UACGGGGGGGGCAAGCGUUGUUCGGAAUUACUGGGCGUAAAGGGCUCGUAGGCGGCCAACUAAGUCGGACGUGAAAUCCCCAGGCUCAACCUGGGAACUGCGUCCGAUACUGGAUGGCUUGAAUCCGGGAGAGGGAUGCAGAAUUCCAGGUGUAGCGGUGAAAUGCGUAGAUAUCUGGAGGAAUACCGGUGGCGAAGGCAGGUCUCUGGGCUGACACUGACGCUCAUGCACGAAAGCGUGGGGAGCAAACAGG
rnacentral:rRNA from 1 species